AGAUUGAACGCUGGCGGCAUGCCUAACACAUGCAAGUCGAGCGGCAGCGCGGGGGCGACCCUGGCGGCGAGCGGCGGACGGGUGAGUAAGGCAUCGGAACGUAUCCUUGAGUGGGGGAUAACGUAGGGAAACUUACGCUAAUACCGCAUACGACCGAGAGGUGAAAGCGGGGGACCGAAAGGCCUCGCGCAGCAGGAUGAGCCGAUGUCCGAUUAGCUGGUUGGUGGGGUAACGGCCCACCAAGGCGACGAUCGGUAGCUGGUCUGAGAGGAUGAUCAGCCACACUGGGACUGAGACACGGCCCAGACUCCUACGGGAGGCAGC
rnacentral:rRNA from 1 species